CAGUAAGGGAUACGAAGCUCGCCUCGCAACUCCAUCACGCACAAGAACGACCAGGACUACUGGAAGAGCAACAGUACGUCUCAAUGGCAGGACGAGAUUAUCGGUAUGAAGACGAUACUCAGCGAUACUCAGUAACUUUGCCAA
rnacentral:misc_RNA from 1 species